GACGAACGCUGGCGGCGUGCUUAACACAUGCAAGUCGAGCGGUGCGGCGAACGGGUGAGUAACGCGUUAGUACCUACCCCCCUCCCUGGGAUAACAGUUGGAAACGGCUGCUAAUACCGGAGAGUGGGGGCUGUCGCGCGUCCUAUCAGCUUGUUGGUGGGGUAGUGGCCUACCAAGGCGACGACGGGUAGCCGGCCUGAGAGGGCGACCGGCCACAUUGGGCUGAGGUACCGGCCAAAGGCCUACGGGAGGCAGCAGUGGAGAAUAUUGCACAAAGGGGGAAGCCCGGAAGCAGCAAUCCGCGUGCGAGAUGACGGCUUUCGGGUUGUAAACCGCUUUCAGCCAUGACGCGGUAGUGGCAGAAGAAGCACCGGCUAACUACGUGCCAGCAGCCGCGGUAAUAC
rnacentral:rRNA from 1 species